AUUGAACGCUGGCGGCAGGCCUAACACAUGCAAGUCGAACGAGUGGCGGACGGGUGAGUAAUGUCUGGGAACCUGCCCGAUGGAGGGGGCUAACUACUGGAAACGGUAGCUAAUACCGCAUACCAUCGGAUGUGCCCAGAUGGGAUUAGCUAGUAGGGGGGGUAACGGUUCACCUAGGCGCAGAUCCCUAGCUGGUCUGAGAGGAUGACCAGCCACCGGGGAACUGGGACGCGGUCUCAACUCCGACGUGAGGCAGCCGUGGGAAAUAUUGCACAAUGGGCGCAAGCCUGAUGCAGCCAUUCCGCGUGUAUGAAGAAGGCCAUCGGGUUGUAAAGUACUUUCAGCGAGGAGGCGUUACUCGCAGAAGAAGCACCGGCUAACUCCGUGCCAGCCGCCGCGGUAAUAC
rnacentral:rRNA from 1 species